ACAAUGCGCUGCCUAUACAUGCAGUCGAGCGGACGGAUGGGAGCUUGCUCCCAGACCGUCAGCGGCGGACGGGUGAGUAACACGUGGGCAACCUGCCUGUAAGACUGGGAUAACUCCGGGAAACCGGGGCUAAUACCGGAUAACUCUUUUCCUCACAUGAGGAAAAGCUGAAAGAUGGCAUCUCGCUAUCACUUACAGAUGGGCCCGCGGCGCAUUAGCUAGUUGGUGAGGUAACGGCUCACCAAGGCGACGAUGCGUAGCCGACCUGAGAGGGUGAUCGGCCACACUGGGACUGAGACACGGCCCAGACUCCUACGGGAGGCAGCAGUAGGGAAUCUUCCGCAAUGGACGAAAGUCUGACGGAGCAACGCCGCGUGAGUGAUGAAGGUUUUCGGAUCGUAAAACUCUGUUGUCAGGGAAGAACAAGUACCGGAGUAACUGCCGGUACCUUGACGGUACCUGACCAGAAAGCCACGGCUAACUACGUGCCAGCAGCCGCGGUAAUACGUAGGUGGCAAGCGUUGUCCGGAAUUAUUGGGCGUAAAGCGCGCGCAGGCGGUUCCUUAAGUCUGAUGUGAAAGCCCCCGGCUCAACCGGGGAGGGUCAUUGGAAACUGGGGAACUUGAGUGCAGAAGAGAAGAGUGGAAUUCCACGUGUAGCGGUGAAAUGCGUAGAGAUGUGGAGGAACACCAGUGGCGAAGGCGACUCUUUGGUCUGUAACUGACGCUGAGGCGCGAAAGCGUGGGGAGCAAACAGGAUUAGAUACCCUGGUAGUCCACGCCGUAAACGAUGAGUGCUAAGUGUUAGAGGGUUUCCGCCCUUUAGUGCUGCAGCAAACGCAUUAAGCACUCCGCCUGGGGAGUACGGCCGCAAGGCUGAAACUCAAAGGAAUUGACGGGGGCCCGCACAAGCGGUGGAGCAUGUGGUUUAAUUCGAAGCAACGCGAAGAACCUUACCAGGUCUUGACAUCUCCUGACAACCCUAGAGAUAGGGCGUUCCCCUUCGGGGGACAGGAUGACAGGUGGUGCAUGGUUGUCGUCAGCUCGUGUCGUGAGAUGUUGGGUUAAGUCCCGCAACGAGCGCAACCCUUGAUCUUAGUUGCCAGCAUUCAGUUGGGCACUCUAAGGUGACUGCCGGUGACAAACCGGAGGAAGGUGGGGGAUGAACGUCAAAUCAUCAUGGCCCCUUUUAACCUGGGGGUAACCCCGUGUU
rnacentral:rRNA from 1 species